GCGGCAGGCCGUGACUGGCGCAUCGAGGUGGGACACCACCGGGGAGCGGCCUGCACCUCCCCGCCGGGCGCCUGGGCACCGCUG
rfam:Geodermatophilus nigrescens strain DSM 45408 genome assembly, contig: Ga0131184_105